rnacentral:lncRNA from 1 species
GAGGAAGAGAAAAAAUGCUGGGGCAGUGGAAAGUUGAAGAGGAUCAUGGGGACGGAAAAGGACACUGCAGCGGGUAUGAGCUGGGAGGCCCACACAGCAUCAGGCCAAGGCAGUGGGGCUGAGGACCAAAAGGAGAAGACGGGGUGGAGAAAGAUGACCGCCAGUAAGAGGCAAUCACAGAAGUCUGCACUUGUCCUGGGUGGCACUUCUAAGUGUGAUAUCACACCAAGGGAGGAAUGGUGAAGCCUGCUGAGGAAGCCGACCAGCCUUAGUAAGAUGGCGGCUCCCAAGGCAGCACGUCAGCCUAAGGUGAGCAAAAGGUUGGCCCAUCUCCGAUUUGUGCUUUCUGGGAUCUGGCAGGACCUUGGGAGCUAAAAGCUCAGAUCUCCAUCUUGCUAUUCUCAGAAAGGCCAAAAGGCAGAAAAGGACACAGCCUCUGGGAGCCUCCUCUGACUUGUCUACCUCCUCCCUGCCUGGAAGUCCUCCCCCUUAAGUCCUUCCUCUUCCUGCAGCAGGCCUUCCUGCUGUGCUCUCCGCCUGUGAGAAACGCAAACCAACGCUCGAGAGGCCUCGGCGCUGAAGAGCCAACACUGUCCACACUAUGAAAUCUCUUCUUUCCCCGACUCUGCUUCUCUCCAGAGAGGGUUGGGGUGUGUUCUGGCUCAGGUCACAGGGCAAACUUUCUCUGGAAGAGCCUAGAAAAGAAGAAGUGAGUUAUGGGGCUUCAGAGUUAAGUUACACAGAAAACUCCCCUGAGAAAACAGCUGGGAGUUUUCAAAGGGGAGUCCAGUGCCUCUGCUGUGUCUUGUCUAAGAGAAGGAGGCCUCUACCUGUCAGCAAGAGUUGGCUGAAAGCGGAGGGAUGAGGGACUUUCAAGGACGAGGAGGUCUUCGCAGAAUGGGGGAGCCGUCCCUCCACAGACCCGCUGUGGUCUGUGUCAGAUGCACCUGACUUCCAGGCCAGGCCCUGUGGAUCCCCCAGCUCCAGUUAUCUCUCUGCUGUCCCUCCCUUUUUCCUGCCACAUCUCUCCACCCCAGGCAGCCACAUGCACA